GACGUAGGAGGCGAGCGUUGUCCGGAUUCAUUGGGCGUAAAGAGCACGCAGGCGGUUUGGCAAGUCGGAUGUGAAAACCCGGAGCUCAACUCCGGGCGUGCAUCCGAUACUGCCCGACUAGAGGUAGGUAGGGGAGAUCGGAAUUCCUGGUGUAGCGGUGAAAUGCGCAGAUAUCAGGAGGAACACCAGUAGCGAAGGCGGCUCGCUGGGCCACACCUGACGCUGAGACGCGAAAGCUAGGGGAGCGAACAGG
rnacentral:rRNA from 1 species